rnacentral:rRNA from 1 species
UACGUAGGGGGCAAGCGUUGUCCGGAUUUAUUGGGCGUAAAGAGCGUGUAGGCGGUUGGGUAGGUCCGUUGUGAAAACUCGAGGCUCAACCUCGAGACGCCGAUGGAAACCCUCCAGCUAGAGUCCGGAAGAGGAGAGUGGAAUUCCUGGUGUAGCGGUGAAAUGCGCAGAUAUCAGGAAGAACACCCGUGGCUAAGGCGGCUCUCUAGUACGGUACUGACGCUGAGACGCGAAAGCGUGGGGAGCGAACAGG